GCUGCAGGUCAGUGUUUAUGUUGUUCCGUUGUUGUCCUGUUAUAUUUGAUAUGUUUCCAUCGGUUUUAGUUUCUUACCAGGAUUUGUUUUUGCCUUAUCAAACUAUCAAAACUAAUUAUUGAACAGUAGUUUACUAUUCUCUCCUUUAUUGUGAAUACUGAUUAGAUAAAAUUAUUUUAAGAGCUUAUGUCAUUCAAUAGUACUUUUUCCUCAUAUCAAAAC
rnacentral:lncRNA from 1 species